CCCGCCUGCCCUGUGACCCCUGUGUUUAACGGCCGCGGUAUUUUGACCGUGCSAAGGUAGCGCAAUCACUUGUCUUUUAAAUGGAGACCUGUAUGAAUGGCAUAACGAGGGCUAAUCUGUCUCCUCUUUCCAGUCAAUGAAAUUGAUCUGUUCGUGCAGAAGCGAGCAUAAAAACAUAAGACGAGAAGACCCUAUGGAGCUUCAGACACCAGAAUAGCCUGCGUCAAAAAACCUUAAUUAAAAAGACAAACCAAACAGCCCCUAUUCUAUUGUCUUUGGUUGGGGCGACCGCGGGGUAAAAAAUAACCCCCACGUGGAACAAGGAUAAAACCUUUAAAACCAGGGCCACAGCCCUAAUAAACAGAACAUCUGACCAACAAGAUCCGGCACCGCCGAUCAACGGAACCAGUUACCCUAGGGAUAACAGCGCAAUCCUCUUUUAGAGCCCAUAUCGACAAGGGGGUUUACGACCUCGAUGUUGGAUCAGGAUAUCCUAAUGGUGCAGCCGCUAUUAAGGGUUCGUUUGUUCAACGAUUAAAAUCC
rnacentral:rRNA from 1 species